AGAGCGAACGCUGGCGGCAGGCCUAAUACAUGCAAGUCGAACGGAUCCUUCGGGAUUAGUGGCGGACGGGUGAGUAACACGUGGGAACGUGCCCUUUGGUUCGGAACAACUCAGGGAAACUUGAGCUAAUACCGAAUGUGCCCUUCGGGGGAAAGAUUUAUCGCCAUUGGAGCGGCCCGCGUCUGAUUAGCUAGUUGGUAGGGUAAAGGCCUACCAAGGCUACGAUCAGUAGCUGGUCUGAGAGGACGAUCAGCCACACUGGGACUGAGACACGGCCCAGACUCCUACGGGAGGCAGCAGUGGGGAAUCUUGCGCAAUGGGGGAAACCCUGACGCAGCGACGCCGCGUGCGGGAUGAAGGCCUUCGGGUUGUAAACCGCUUUCAGCAGGGACGAAAUUGACGGUACCUGCAGAAGAAGGCCCGGCCAACUACGUGCCAGCAGCCGC
rnacentral:rRNA from 1 species